rnacentral:rRNA from 1 species
ACGAACGCUGGCGGCGUGCCUAAUACAUGCCAGUCGAGCGGACGAAUCGAAAGCUUGCUUUUGAUUCGUUAGCGGCGGACGGGUGAGUAACACGUGGGCAACCUGCCCUGUAGACGGGGAUAACACCGAGAAAUCGGUGCUAAUACCGGAUAACACGAAAUGUCGCAUGACGUUUCGUUGAAAGACGGCGCAAGCUGUCGCUACAGGAUGGGCCCGCGGCGCAUUAGCUAGUUGGUGAGGUAACGGCUCACCAAGGCGACGAUGCGUAGCCGACCUGAGAGGGUGAUCGGCCACACUGGGACUGAGACACGGCCCAGACUCCGACGGGAGGCAGCAGGAGGGAAUCUUCCGCAAUGGACGAAAGUCUGACGGAGCAACGCCGCGUGAGCGAAGAAGGCCUUCGGGUCGUAAAGCUCUGUUGUUAGGGAAGAACAAGUAACGCAGUAACUGGCGUUACCGUGACGGUACCUAACGAGAAAGCCACGGCUAACUACGU